rnacentral:rRNA from 1 species
GACGGAGGGUGCAAGCGUUGUUCGGAAUUACUGGGCGUAAAGGGCGCGUAGGCGGUCUGUUAAGUUCGGUGUGAAAGCCCCCGGCUCACCUGGGGAACUGCGCCGAAAACCGACAGACUCGAGUACCGGAGAGGAGGGUGGAAUUCCUGGUGUAGCGGUGAAAUGCGUAGAUAUCAGGAGGAACACCGGUGGCGAAGGCGGCCCUCUGGACGGAUACUGACGCUGAGGCGCGAAAGCGUGGGGAUCAAACAGG